UACGAAGGGGGCUAGCGUUGUUCGGAAUCACUGGGCGUAAAGGGCGCGUAGGCGGCCGCUCAAGUCGGGGGUGAAAGCCUGUGGCUCAACCACAGAAUUGCCUUCGAUACUGUUUGGCUUGAGACCGGAAGAGGUUAGUGGAACUGCGAGUGUAGAGGUGAAAUUCGUAGAUAUUCGCAAGAACACCAGUGGCGAAGGCGGCUGACUGGUCCGGUUCUGACGCUGAGGCGCGAAAGCGUGGGGAGCAAACAGG
rnacentral:rRNA from 1 species